UUCGGCCACAUCACGUAGAAACACCAGCUCGCGUAUGACCACCUAAGUUAAGCAACGUCGAGGCGGGUCAGUAACUUGAUGGGUGACCGCAUGGGAAUACCAGGU